rnacentral:rRNA from 1 species
GAUGAACGCUGGCGGCGUGCCUAAUACAUGCAAGUCGAGCGAAUGGAUUAGGAGCUUGCUCUUAUGAAGUUAGCGGCGGACGGGUGAGUAACACGUGGGUAACCUGCCCAUAAGACUGGGAUAACUCCGGGAAACCGGGGCUAAUACCGGAUAACAUUUUGAACCGCAUGGUUCGAAAUUGAAAGGCGGCUUCGGCUGUCACUUAUGGAUGGACCCGGGUCGCAUUAGCUAGGUGGUGAGGUAACGGCUCACCAAGGCAACGAUGCGUAGCCGACCUGAGAGGGUGAUCGGCCACACUGGGACUGAGACACGGCCCAGACUCCUACGGGAGGCAGCAGUAGGGAAUCUUCCGCAAUGGACGAAAGUCUGACGGAGCAACGCCGCGUGAGUGAUGAAGGCUUUCGGGUCGUAAAACUCUGUUGUUAGGGAAGAACAAGUGCUAGUUGAAUAAGCUGGCACCUUGACGGUACCUAACCAGAAAGCCACGGCUAACUACGUGCCAGCAGCCGCCGUAA